AGCGUCCAGCAUGGACUGGUCCAGGCACCUCCGACCCACCCGACGCUCCUGCCCCGGCCCGCUCUCCACUCAGAUCACGCUCGCUCCGCACCCAGCCCCGUAACCUGCCGGGCCGCCACUGCACCCGCCAUACCUGCUCUGGUCCGUCAAGCGCCAUCUUCUCUCUUCAGCAGAGACCGCCGGCAUCCGAGCCGUCUUGGCGCGCAAGCGCGGAAGCGGAGGAUUGGGACCUGAAGACCAGGCAGAGAAGAAUUCCGGGUCAAUGGGCGGGGUGUGCGUCUCAACUUUCAACUUACAAAACCCAAGGACAGAGUAUUGAGAACAAUCUAGGGCCACACUCAAAAUGGCGGAAAACCUCGAGCCAGGGACGCAGGGGACGCAAGCGGAAGCGGAAGUAGUUAGCUGCAUACUUGUGCGGUUCCAAGUGUGGAGAAAGCGGCUCUGGGUCUAGAUUGAGGGAUACUCCCCCUUUCCACCAUGGGCAAGAAGGGCAAAGUUGGCAAGAGCCGACGAGACAAGUUUUAUCACUUGGCGA
rnacentral:lncRNA from 1 species